rnacentral:rRNA from 1 species
UACCAGCACCCCGAGUGGUCGGGACGAUUAUUGGGCCUAAAGGCAUCCGUAGCCGGUCCUACAAGUCUUCCGUUAAAUCCACCUGCUUAACAGAUGGGCUGCGGAAGAUACUAUAGGGCUAGGAGGCGGGAGAGGCAAGCGGUACUCAGUGGGUAGGGGUAAAAUCCUCUGAUCCAUUGAAGACCACCAGUGGCGAAGGCGGCUUGCCAGAACGCGCUCGACGGUGAGGGAUGAAAGCUGGGGGAGCAAACCGG